rnacentral:miRNA from 1 species
AGACAAAAAUAUAAAUAACAAA